GGGAUUGUGGCACAGGGGCAGAGCACCGGCCUAGCAUGCCGGAGGCCCUGCGUUCAAUCCCG
rnacentral:tRNA from 1 species